UUAUAGUCAGCAGGUGACCCGGUUCAAUUCUUAAACAGGUCUAGACUGUAGAACCAACUGCCUUAUGACUGUGAUAACUGUUUAAGGUGGUUACUCAUUCAUUGAUAUUUGGUAUGAGUCCCACUACUGUUAGGCAACAGGUGUUGGUUCUAUAAUCUCUGCACAAGAGUCAACACUCCCAUUUUGUUUUAUCACAGCCAGUAGGUUCCAUGGUUGGGUAAACUUUAUAAUACCCAUGACAGUAAUUGGAAGAUGUCAGAACAUUUCUGAACAUAUUUUUUCAUAUUCAUAAGGCUAACAUCUCAUGAGGACAUACAAUAUGCCACAGUGCUAGGCAUUUUAUAAACAAAAUCUGAUUUAAUCCUUAUAGUAACCUGCAAAUAUUAUUGUUUUUUCUGUUUAUAGAAGAGAAACUGAAGCAUAAUUAUAUAGAUAUGAAGUAGAAGAGCAGAAUUUCAAAGUCAGGUUUGAUUCCAGAGUAUCUGUUCUUUUAAUAACUGUGCUGACAUCACGCAGUGCACAAAUAUCAGGGUGGCUGUUUUUAUGACAUUGGAACUGCAUAUGGCAUCAGGCUCCUUGUUGGUUGUUGGAUCUUAGUGGUAGAAUUGGUUGAAUGGAUAGGGGAAAAUGUGAAUUCCUAGUUGUUGUUUUAAUGGAGCAGGUCUGAGAGUUAUAAACAAGCUAACCUUUAUAAACCUGCCAACACAUGUUGUAAACACAUACCCUAAUCACAUGAAUAUAAAAUAUGAAAAAUCUGUCACAUUCACAGCAAUUGUUUCAAAAUAACUAGGAAAACUCACCAAGGUAUUGCAAUAACUGAUGAAAUUAGUUUCUACUCCCCAAGCAAGAGUAUAGCAAACAUGGUUCAGAAUUUUAUUUUUAAAUUCGCAAUAUUAGUAUGAAGAAGUUGGAUAAAGUUGGAAAAAGGACAUCCUUCCAAAAAGAAAAAGAGCCACACAACUCAGUUAUCUGAAAAAGAUUAUGCAGUAAUGGCAAUUUCAAAUGAAAUGGUCUUGACAUAAAAGUCAAUUGAAAAUAAAUUUAGGAAGCUGGUUAUAAAAUUAAAAGCAUUAUAAACAUAAAUUAAAUAUUUUCUAACACCAGAUACAUGAGUAUAAAUCCAUAUACUCUCUGAUUUAUUACAAAAUCUUACAGUAUGAUGCCAAUAAAACUGUUCUAUAUCAAAAGGGACAAACCCUAGUACUUUCCCAUAUGCCAUGUGUUAUAGGCAGUUUCAUGCACCUGCUGUGGGUGUGUUUUCAGCACUAAAAAAAUUCAUGUACUGAAAGGCCAUUAUAGAUACAAAUUAUCUAGAAUUUAAAGCUUUUUUUGCAUACAUAUCUCUGGUACAAAUCAGAAUAACUUAAGCCAAAACAAAAAUGCUAAGCCAAAGACAAAAUCUUUUGAAAGAAUUGGAGGAGCAGGUCUAUUGCUAUCAUAUAGACAUUUAUGACUAUGUGUGCAAAUAUCAGACAUUAAUAGAUGAUGAUAAGUCUCUGUAAUACUCAAUUGUUCACUUUAUCUUUAUGAAAAAUACAAAUGCCUGGAUUUAGACUAAAGUUUAUAAAAAUAAAACCUGUUAUAUAGGUUUGUUGCUUAUAUGCAUGUAGAAAAGUAACGUCUUUUUUAUACAUAGAAAAAUAAACUUAUAUCAAUAGUUUAUUAAGCUAAACAAUUAUAUAAAAGCAUAUGUGGAAAUAGUAAAAUGCAAAAAUAAAUGUCUAAGAACUGCCAAUGAAUAGUGUUACUCCACAAUAAAUUCUACUAUCGUUUUUGACAUGACCUGGAUAAGAAACUCAAUCUCUCAAAUGUUUCAGUCCUAAGAAGGCAGAAUAAAAUUGUUUACUUCUUCUUCUUCUUCUUCUUCUUUUUUUUUUUUUUGCUUUUUAGGGCCAUACUUGCAGCAUGUGGAAGUUCCCAGGGGUCAAAUCAGAGCUACAGCUGCCAGCCUAUACCACAGCCACAGCAACAUGGAAUCCGAGCCGCAUCUGUGAGACAGACCACAGCUCCUGGCAAUGCCAGAUCCUUGACCCACUGAGCCAGGGCAAGGAUCAAAUCUGCGUCCUCAUGGAUACUAGUCGGGUUCAUUUGCACUGCACCACAACGGGAACUCCACUGUUUGCUUCUUUAUUGGAGAUGUUAAAGACAAUUAUUAUUUUUCUAAAACGUUAUGAAGAAUGUUACUAUUUUAAAUAGACUUUUGAAUAGUAGUUUUAGUAAAAAUUUUCUAUUAUUCCUCUAGGUUAAGAUUUGAAGACCCUUAUUGAAAUUGGAAAAGAAAAGAUCCAAUAUAUCCUUUUCAGCUGUGGAAAAAUUAUUUGAAAUAUUAAACCCCAAAGAAUAAAACUAUUGUCACUUUUUUCCUCCCAGUCUCUUGCUCUUUGGGGACCGAUUCUCUUUUAAUUUAUUGCUCUGUGUUCUAAAAAGCGGAGAAAGCUUACAAACCACAUUUUAAAAGUGUAUUAAAUAUAACUUCUGGUAAAUUAGUAAUACCUCUUGAAAAACCCUGCUAUGAGCUCUCCCAUGGUGCUUCCUUUGGGGGAAGAUAACUCAAUUGUGUUGAUUUAAAGGUUCUGUCUGGUUCUUUUAAACAUUCCUUUGACGUUGUAUUGCUCUGCUUGUAAUAGACUGUUAUUGCCCUAUAUUGAGUUUGCGGAGUGAAGCUAAAUCUUUCGUGAUGUGAUUGUGCCACCGCAAACUCAAUAUUGUUCAUAGGGCCUUUAUAACUCUCAGCCACAUAGCAGCGGAAUAGCACACAUUUUCAUUUUUACCUUUUUAGAUUUUUAUUCUUUGUCUUGAAGCUGAAAGUAUGUAUGCUUACCUACACUCUAUAGUGCUUGUUCUGUGAAGCGGUACCUCGUAAGCAAAGAGAACAUUGUCAGGUGGUUUUUUUCUUGUUCUGAAAUUGUUGAUUUUAUUGUCCAUCUUUUUCAUUAUGUUGCAUUAGGUACUCUACCAUGUUAUUGAAACAGCACAGCUAUUGGGAAAAGCUCAGUUCAAAUAUCUAUCCAAGUUUCUAGUUUGAAAUGUUUUCUGAGUGCAUAAUGACACUAUUAAAAGCGAUUCUCCCAAGGAGGACUAUCCCACCUUGAAACUCAGAUAAAUGUGAUUUCCCCUGGUGGCAGAUCACACACGGAAGACUUAAGUGAUCAGAAGUACUAACAUAGAUAAUUCAGUAUUAACAUUGGCCUGUUUGAAAAUAGAAACUUUAUGUAAUGGCUUAUGCUGAUUUUCUGGGGUCUUCCCUUUCUUCCUCAUCUGAGUUAUAGUUCUCUGUCUUUUCAUUUUUAUAGGUUUUUGAUGUGGUGACCUUUUUACAGAUACUAGAGUUGUAGCCUCUCUUACUUCUGAUGUCUGCCCCCCAUGUGGCUGAAGUUGGUAUGGGGGCUUGCUGUAGGCUUCCUGAUGGGAGGGGCUGAUGCCUGCCCACUGGUAGGUGGAGCUGAUUCUAAUCCCUCUGGUGGGUGGGGCUUAGUCUCUGGAUGGGAUUAGAGGCAGCUGUGUGCCUGGGGGUCUUUAGGCAGCCUGUUUACUGAGGGGCGGGGCUGUGAUCCCAUCUGGAUUGUUGUCUUCCCUGGGGCUUCUCAGCAGCUGACUGAAGGGUGGGGCAGAUUUUCCCAAAAUGGCCCCCUCCAGAGAAAGGCAAGCUGCUGAAUAUUCCCGAGAGCUUUGCCUUCAGUGUCCUUCCCUCACAACAAGCCACGUUCACCCCUGUUUUCCCAGGAUGUCCUCUAAGAACUGCAGUCAGGUUUGACCCAGAUUCCUAUGGAGACCUCGCUUCUGCCCUGGGACCCCGUGCAUGUGAAAGUCUGUGUGUGCCUUUUAAGACUGGGGUCUCUGUUUCCUCCAGUCCCGUGGAGCUCCUUCGCACAAGCCCCACUGGCCUUCAAUGCCAGAUGCUCCAGGGCCUCUUUCUCCCAGUGCCAGCUCCCCGCACGUGAGGGUUUGAUGUGGGGCUCAGAACUCUCACUCCUGCAGGCCCCUUGGAAAUGAAAGAGCUCUACAGUGAUUUAUGAAGAGAAUCAAAGAGGAUUUCUGAGAGGAUGCAGGCAAACCCAAAGGCUACAGCACCACCACACUCCCUCCCCAUAUCUGCAGAGAACAACAACAACAGCAUUUUCCAGAUGAAGUUGAAGUCCUCUUUGACCACCAAACUCAGUCCUUUUACCCUUGAAUCUUCCGGAUGCAACGAGGAUGGUGAGUUUGGUGUGUGUUUUAAGCAAGAAUUUUAUAUUAAAAAUAUGUAUAUAGUAUGAUAUCACCCUAUAAAUUAUUUCCACAGAUUUCUUUUUUCCUCAACAUUUUUUUUUGAGAUUUAACCAUAGUAAAUAGAAAACUUUCCAAGGAAAGCCUUAAGAACUAUGUGAGUUUAUGAGAAUUUAACAAGAGAGAAAGAAAGAAAAAAAAAAAAAAAAAGCGAUAACCCAGCCAUAGGCUACAGUACAUAUAUUACCCCAUGAGCUGAAUGGGAUUUAAUGGGAGCACAUAGGAGGUCUUAGCAUGAAUGCAAUGAUUUAGUAGCUCGGCACACACAUCAACCAACUGUCAAGCUCCUUUGAUUCUCACCCCCCUUUCUAAUGAAAUGAGGGAGCCAUACCUCAUCAGAAUCUUUAAAGAAAAUAAGGAAUCUCAUUACAAUUCAGAAAUUUUCUUUAUUUUCAAAAUAUACUCCUUUAGGUUCCUGUCGGAUCAUAAAGUCAUCCUUAAAAUUUCUCCAGGGUUAAAAAUGUUGCGCGGCUCUAACGUGAUCGUAUAGACAGUUUGAAGACAUGAAACUAAGUUAUUGUGAAGCUUUCAUAGUGAAGUUUCCAAAUAGCUGAGAACAUAGGCGAGUUUUCACUUUACUUCCAACAGAUAGAAACUAACAUAUCAUGGAAGAAAAUAUUAUAUGAAUUGACUAUUCAUGAUUUGACCACAACCCAACCCUCUUAGUAAUCUAAGCAAGAGCUAUUUAGUUGUAAAAGAUCAGAACAUUAUCUGGGACUCGUCAUUCUUGGUCUAACCCUUUCGCUGCUCUGAAACACAGUCUUUAAAGAUAGGGACGAGAAGGGGGGAUGGGAAAGAUAAGCAGAGUAAUUCAGAUAUCAAUAGAUAAUAUGAUUAUCCUUCUCUAGCAUGUGUGAGUUUUAUUAGCAUAAAUAAGUGCUGUGUAAUGAAAAUAUUUUUACCAGAAAACCAUUUUAAGAUUUAAUUUGUGCUAGUUAUUCUCAUUUAUUUGAAAUUCACCAUUCGAAGGCCAAGAAUAGGAUUUACUUGUGUUAACACUGGAGUUUUACGUACAGGUACCUCUUCAAUUUCAAAAUUGAAAUAGUUGCAAUAUGUCUGAUUUUAACAGAAUUUCUGGUUAGUUUCAGGAGCCAUGGAGAUCUGUAGUCAUAAAUCUCACGCUAGUUUUCUCAGAAUCAAAUAAGCAAUGAUGCCGCAAUUACAAUUGAAUAAAAAAGGAAA
rnacentral:lncRNA from 1 species